rnacentral:rRNA from 1 species
AUACGGAGGGUGCAAGCGUUACUCGGAAUCACUGGGCGUAAAGCGCGCGCAGGCGGUCUUUUAAGUUGGAUGUGAGAGCCUACGGCUCAACCGUAGAACUGCAUCCAAAACUAUUAGACUAGAGUGUGGGAGAGGAAGAUGGAAUUAGUUGUGUAGGGGUAAAAUCCGUAGAGAUAACUAGGAAUACCAAAAGCGAAGGCAAUCUUCUGGAACACUACUGACGCUGAGGCGCGAAAGCGUGGGGAGCAAACAGGAUUAGAAACCCUAGUAGUCC